CACGAUAAGAGCAAACCAUUCGAAAGAAUGGGACGCAGAGCUACAAACCCUUUUACAAUGAGGGUGGUUGGGCCGCCGAAU
rnacentral:ncRNA from 1 species